AUACGUAGGGCGCAAGCGUUGUCCGGAAUUAUUGGGCGUAAAGAGCUCGUAGGCGGUUAGUCGCGUCUGCUGUGAAAACUCGAGGCUCAACCUCGGGCUUGCAGUGGGUGCGGGCUGACUAGAGUGCGGUAGGGGUGACUGGAAUUCCUGGUGUAGCGGUGGAAUGCGCAGAUAUCAGGAGGAACACCAAUGGCGAAGGCAGGUCACUGGGCCGCAACUGACGCUGAGGAGCGAAAGCAUGGGGAGCGAACAGGAUUAGAUACCCUGGUAGUCCAUGCCGUAAACGUUGGGCCCUAGGUGUGGGGUCCAUUCCACGGAUUCCGUGCCGCAGCAAACGCAUUAAGUGCCCCGCCUGGGGAGUACGGCCGCAAGGCUAA
rnacentral:rRNA from 1 species